rnacentral:tRNA from 1 species
GGGGCGUUAGCUCAGUUGGUAGAGCAGCGGACUCUUAAUCCGUUUGUCGAAGGUUCGAUCCCCUCACGCCCUACCA